GGGCCCGUAGCUCAAUGGACAGAGCAACUGCCUUCUAAGCAGUGGGUUGGAGGUUCGAUUCCUCUCGGGCCCGCCA
rnacentral:tRNA from 1 species